GAUCCGUCGGUGCGGCGGGCAGCGACCGCGGGCUCACGCCCCGCUCGACCGCUUCGACGACCUCGACGAGGUGUUCGAUCCGCUGGUCGAUCG
rnacentral:tRNA from 1 species